rnacentral:lncRNA from 1 species
GCCUCGGUUCCUACAAACGACCCCUGACCCCUUAUAUCAAAAUAACCACUUUUACAGAUAUAGCCUAUUUACAUGACUGGCCUAAUUGCAAGCAUAGCCUAUUUACACAACUAGUCUAAUUACAGACAUAGACAAACAAAUUACAAAAAUAGCCUAAUUGUAGAAGUAGCCUAUUUAGCUCAGAUAUGACUCUUUCCUUCAAUGACCAAAAUGGUCUACAUGUGAGUAGUAUCAUCAUUGCCUAUUUACAUAUCUCAACA